rnacentral:rRNA from 1 species
UCAGGACGAACGCUGGCGGCACGCCUAACACAUGCAAGUCGAACGGUGUAUGGAGCUUGCUCUAAUAACAUAGUGGCGGACGGGUGAGUAACACGUGAGCAACCUGGCCUCUGAGAGAGGGAUAGCUUCUGGAAACGGAUGGUAAUACCUCAUAACAUUACAUGACCGCAUGAUCGUGUAAUCAAAGAUUUAUCACUCAGAGAUGGGCUCGCGUCUGAUUAGCUAGUUGGUGAGGUAACGGCUCACCAAGGCGACGAUCAGUAGCCGGACUGAGAGGUUGAACGGCCACAUUGGGACUGAGACACGGCCCAGACUCCUACGGGAGGCAGCAGUGAGGGAUAUUGCACAAUGGAGGAAACUCUGAUGCAGCGAUGCCGCGUGGAGGAAGAAGGUUUUCGGAUUGUAAACUCCUGUUUCGAGGGACGAUAAUGACGGUACCUCGGGAGGAAGCUCCGGCUAACUACGUGCCAGCAGCCGC